GUGAUCACAAAUAAACUAUGGAAAUGACACGGCAGACGGCACAGAACAGUACCUCCCAAUCUAUAGUCUCCAGCACACUGGCUGGCUGGUGGUUAGUGUAGGUGUAUAUAUACAUAUAUAUAUGCAUGAAUCCAACUACAUCCUGGAAAUUCAUUUAAUCGAAGUCACCCGGAGAGGAAGACGACGAAGAAGCAGAGGAGGAGGACGCCAAGAGUCAAACCCAGCCGCUGAGCCUGAUAGACAAUCUUGGAUGCUUAGCUAUAGCUGAUCAGCAACCCCCAUUC
rnacentral:lncRNA from 1 species